rnacentral:lncRNA from 1 species
GUUUAAUAGUAAAAAGAGAGACUAAGUGUUUCCUAAAUAAAUGGUUAACCUUUUUACACAAAUAACAUAACAUCUUUCUAGAGAAAAAAAAGAAACAAAAAACAAUGCCUUGAAUAAAUGGUUAACCUUUUUACACAAAUAACUUAACAUCUUUCUAGAGAAAAAAAGAAACAAAAAACAAUGCCUUGAAUUGGAUUCCCUCAUCUCACAUAUUCUUUCCUCAUAGACAUGGAGCCACCUAGCCUUUUUCUUAACACCAUAUAACAACCUCAAAAUCUCCACUACAAC